UUUUAUCCCGCAAAAUCAGAGUUCCCGCGGGAUUUUAAAAAACUUAAAUCCACGCAGACGAAGUCGCGGGCAUCAAUUAGUUUUAAAUAAAUAAAUAAAUAUUUUUUAUUCAAUUAAACUUUUACAAGUACGAGUACAAGGUACAUUUGAAUCGUAAAAAGUAAGGGCCGGGCCACAAACUGAGGUUUGUUCAAAUCACAACAUGCUCAUGAUUGGUUCGCACUUGCGUCAUGCGAAAGCCGUGAUUGGCUUUUUUCUUUUUCUUAUAGGCAAGCGCUUGACCACAAUCACACCUGAUGGAAAGUGAUGACGUGGCCCAAGAUGGGACGCGUUUAUCUAGAAGAUGCCUAUACUGGCUCAAAGUGAAGUGUUACGGUGCUACAGUCGAAUAGAAGACGCGUUAGUCAAUACAUAUUAUGCACUGCCCAUUACGGUAGUUUCGUUACGUUAUAGAAUGGAGCGUGUAGAAUAUUUCUAUGCUUUGUUGUUCACUGACACAAAGAUGUACAAAAUCGUACGCGUAUAGUGCUUCGAGGAGCCCCCACCUUGAGGCUUGCAAUCCAUUUCCUAGGUUCCUAUUUAAUAAUUAUGAUUAAUAACUAUGUGACUACCUUUAUAAGAGUCAGUGAGAAAGCACCAUUCAAAUACACCAAUAUACAAUUUCAUUUCGAUAUACAAAUAAAUUAGCGACUAUAUCUACGCGGAUUCGAAUGUUCGAUAAUAUAUACGUGGAUGGUUCUUGGUUGAAGUUUUUAGGCCACCACAUGUUAUCGCGCCUAAAGUCACAAUCUUUGACAGUUUUAUAUUAAAAUAAGUUUGUCUAUCCUUUUCUUUUUACAUAGGUAAGAAAAAAAUGCAGACACUCAAAAUUUUUGUUGCCAUUCAGAGUCAGUACCAAUGCUUGUUACAAAGUUUUCUGUCCCACUCACUCUGCGAACCUCAGAAAAUGUUUACACAGACAAAACAAGAAUCAGAAAUAUGUGGCAGGCCUUAAACUCACUUAUAACGAAAUCAGAAAAUUAGGAAAAACUAUAAAGACUGACUUUAAAGACAUAUUUUGUAUUCAUCAUAAUAUAUAAAUUAAUCCUUUUACUGGAAAUAAGAUAUAAAAAAAAUUAAAUCGAUAAAAAAUGCUUCAAAUGGAAAUGGAAUAGUUUACAAAAAUGCGAAAGAAAUGCAGAAAACAAAGCGAUAAUUUAAUAAAUAAAUAAGUAAAUGAUUAUAUUUUUUUUAAUUCUAACGUCAAGUAUAACUUUUAUUUGUUUUUAUUCAUAAUUUAUUUUUGUCAAUUUCGAUCAAUCAACAGACAUAACAAGAUUGUAAGCAAUUUAUUCUGUUUAAAACAUACAUACAUACAUAAAUCCCAAGUCUAUAUAUUGGCGUAUUUUUUCUGAAAAUACUUAAUUUUACUUAUAUUAUUACUACAAAGUUUUUCAGCGUUGAGAUAAAUAUACAUACAGGGCGUAACCAGAACGCUCGCAAAGACUUAGCGUUAUUAUUAUACUACCUAAACACAAUCCAAUGCCAAUAACCGUAAUAAAUGAAUUGCCUUAUUUUGUAGUUUUAGUGAUUUAGAAUCUUUCAAAACCGUAAUGUAUAGCGUGCAAAAUCCGACUCAAAGUCCCACUUACGACGCGGCAUCGACUCCGAGUGACCUACUUACCCAACGUUCUUUGACCUCUAGUGUCAGUCAGAUGUUUUAUUUGCAACAUUAUAUUACGAACUUUUAAAAAUACAGGAUUUUUUAUUUAUUUUGUUUUGCGUUUUUUUUUGUGGUAUCUUAUGAGUAAUCAUCAGUAUCACCUGUCUUCCUUUUUACUAGCGUUCUGGUUACACCCAGUAUAAGUAAAUAUAUACAUAUAAAAAAGCUCAAUUUAACGCCAACUAAAACCGUAUGUAUACCAAUGAAAUACAGACCUUAUUGCUUGA